AUACCUUUCUCGGCCUUUUGGCUAAGAUCAAGUGUAGUAUCUGUUCUUAUCAGUUUAAUAUCUGAUACGCUUGUCCAUCGGACGGCACGAUAUUAAAUUAUUUUUUUUCAUGGGGGAGUUCCCACCAAAGCAGCUUGCUGCUGGGGUUCUCACGCGUCGCCUUUACGUUGCACUACUGCAAAGGCCUGGCACACCCCAA